rnacentral:rRNA from 1 species
GACGUAGGGCGCGAGCGUUGUCCGGAUUUAUUGGGCGUAAAGAGCUCGUAGGCGGCUUGUCGCGUCGUCCGUGAAAACCUGCAGCUCAACUGCAGGCUUGCGGUCGAUACGGGCAGGCUAGAGUUCGGUAGGGGAGACUGGAAUUCCUGGUGUAGCGGUGAAAUGCGCAGAUAUCAGGAAGAACACCCGUGGCGAAGGCGGUUCUCUGGGACGGUACUGACGCUGAGACGCGAAAGCGUGGGGAGCGAACAGG